rnacentral:lncRNA from 1 species
UGAGUUCUUUUUUUUUUUCAUUAAAUCAACUCAUGCACUGAAUACUCAAUAGGUUUUCUUUUCUUUUCAGAAUGACUAAUUUGCAGACACUUGCCAUUCUUAAGAAUAAGAAAUUUGGAGACAUUUCCAUUUAACUUUUCUACAAUAAAAAUAUUAAAUGAUUUCUCAGAUGAUCAGCAGUUCUGGCUUGUUUUGUUUCAGAAAGUUAUAAGGUUUUUAUGCCCUACUACAUGAUUUAUGUUUCUGUGCAUGCCUCUGAAGGUGUCCUGUACUGCUGAGAAAAAGAGAGAUUGGUUGUGGAGAUUCCUGCUUUAGCUUUGGAGGAAGCUGUGUUGGUGGAACCCUGGCUAAAGACACUACCGGGACUUCUGGCUUGGAGAGAUUCCUUCCUUGGUGGCUUUGAAAGGAGACCCUCUCUGCUUGUGGGGGCUUUGAUGGGACACUCUUUUCAGUGUGAGUUCUGCAGAGAGACUCUUUUCCUUGGAUCAGCUUCCUGGUGAGUGACUCAGACUUCCAUGUGGAGACUGGAACUUUGUUGGGGAGCAAGCUGAAUUUCAAUGGACCAGCACUUAGGGUAGUCUAGGCUACUCCUUACCUCUUUCCCUC